GAUGAACGCUGGCGGCGUGCUUAACACAUGCAAGUCGAACGAUGAAAGCGGGAGCUUGCUCCUGCUGGAUUAGUGGCGAACGGGUGAGUAACACGUGAGUAACCUGCCCUUGACUCUGGGAUAAGCGUUGGAAACGACGUCUAAUACCGGAUACGACCUUCGGAGGCAUCUCCUGGGGGUGGAAAGAAUUUCGGUCAAGGAUGGACUCGCGGCCUAUCAGCUAGUUGGUGAGGUAAUGGCUCACCAAGGCGACGACGGGUAGCCGGCCUGAGAGGGUGACCGGCCACACUGGGACUGAGACACGGCCCAGACUCCUACGGGAGGCAGCAGUGGGGAAUAUUGCACAAUGGGCGCAAGCCUGAUGCAGCAACGCCGCGUGAGGGACGACGGCCUCGGUUGU
rnacentral:rRNA from 1 species